CUACGGGUUGCAGCAGUGGGGAAUUUUGCGCAAUGGGGGGAACCCUGACGCAGCAAUACCGCGUGAGUGAAGAAGGCCUUUGGGUCGUAAAGCUCUUUUCUGAAGGAAGAUAGUGACGGUACUUCAGGAAUAAGCACCGGCUAACUCCGGUGCCAGCAGCCGCGGUAAUACGGAGGGUGCGAGCGUUGUUCGGAUUUACUGGGCGUAAAGGGCACGUAGGCGGCCUGGCAAGUUAAGGGUGAAAUCCCGGGGCUUAACUCCGGAACUGCUCUUAAAACUGCCAAGCUAGAGAUAGUCAGAGGCGGGUGGAAUUCCUGGUGUAGAGGUGAAAUUCGUAGAUAUCAGGAGGAACACCGGUGGCGAAGGCGGCCCGCUGGGGCUAUUCUGACGCUAAGGUGCGAAAGCGUGGGGAGCGAACGGGAUUAGAUACCCUAGUAGUC
rnacentral:rRNA from 1 species